CGCGUAGGCGGUCGGGUAAGUCGGGUGUGAAAUUCCGGGGCUCAACCCUGCGAACUGCAUCCGAUACUGCUCGACUUGAGAGAGGUAGGGGCGAGUGGAAUCCCCGGUGUAGCGGUGGAAUGCGUAGAUAUCGGGAAGAACACCGGUGGCGAAGGCGGCUCGCUGGACCUUUUCUGACGCUGAAGCGCGAAAGCGUGGGGAGCAAACAGGAUUAGAUACCCUGGUAGUCC
rnacentral:rRNA from 1 species